rnacentral:rRNA from 1 species
AGGGCACCACCAGGAGUGGAGCCUGCGGCUUAAUUUGACUCAACACGGGAAAUCUCACCAGGCCCGGACACCGGAAGGAUUGACAGAUUGAGAGCUCUUUCUUGAUUCGGUGGGUGGUGGUGCAUGGCCGUUCUUAGUUGGUGGAGCGAUUUGUCUGGUUAAUUCCGAUAACGAACGAGACUCUGGCCUACUAACUAGACGUUGGAUCCCUUUGUGGGUCCAUCGCAGCUUCUUAGAGGGACAGGCGGCGGUUCAGCCGCACGAAACAGAGCAAUAACAGGUCUGUGAUGCCCUUAGAUGUCCAGGGCCGCACGCGCGCUACACUGAAGUGAUCAGCGUGCAAUUAACGUUUCCUACUCCGUCAGGAGUGGGUAACCCGUUGAACCUUCUUCGCGAUUGGGAUAGGGGAUUGUAAUUAUUCCCCUUGAACGAGGAAUUCCCAGUAAGCGCAAGUCAUAAGCCUGCGUUGAUUACGUCCCUGCCCUUUGUACACACCGCCCGUCGCUACUACCGAUUGAA